GGAGUACGGCCGCAAGGUUAAAACUCAAAUGAAUUGACGGGGGCCCGCACAAGCGGUGGAGCAUGUGGUUUAAUUCGAUGCAACGCGAAGAACCUUACCUGGUCUUGACAUCCACGGAAGUUUUCAGUUAGUCCUCCUUUUGCCUGCGCCAGCACGAGGUGCGCAUCGCUUUGCGGCACAGAGAAAAACCAUUUAUGUCCCACCAGCCGAUAUGAAUCAUCCGCCAGCCGCUCCGCGUGGGUCGUAUUACUGAGU
rnacentral:rRNA from 1 species